CUUUCCUCAGAGACACAUGAACAGGUGCUGCAUGGCUGUCGUCAGCUCGUGCCGUGAGGUGUUGGGUUAAGUCCCGCAACGAGCGCAACCCUUGUCAUUAGUUGCCAACACGUGAUGGUGGGCACUCUAAUGAGACUGCCUGGGUUAACCAGGAAGAAGGUGAGGAUGACGUCAAGUCCGCGUGGCCUUUAUGCCCAGGGCUACACACGUGCUACAAUGGUCGGUACAAAAGGUGGCAAACCCGCGAGGUGAACCAAAUCCCUAAAGCCGGCCCCAGUUCAAAUUGGAGUCUGCAACUCGACUCCAUGAAGAUGGAAUUGCUAGUAAUGGCGAGUCAACAACAUUGCCGUGAAUACUUUCCCGGGUCUUGUACACAC
rnacentral:rRNA from 1 species